rnacentral:lncRNA from 1 species
CACAGGCUCCUUCAUCCUGCCACUCUUGGUCCUUAACCUGCAGCUUCCAUCUCACGGACACCUAGGGAUGCUGCAGCUCCUGCCAUCUCAUCUGCUCUCUAGGACGCCCUCAGCACAUGUUGCUGUUGUUCAGCAUGUGUUGUCGGAGUCACAUGGCGCCAUUUCUGCUGAAGUCCUGUCAUCCAGAAUUUAGUCACCGGCCGGCCAUCUGAGCUUCUGGGAGUGUGAGGAGAUAGCGUUUACCUUCGGAAUGUGCAGACUGAUGUGUGAGUGGUUAUUUGUCUCUUGGCACCGGGGACCAUGCAGGGGGUGCUUCGGGGCUGGUGACUGAAAGGCAGGGUUGCACAAACCAUCCGUUUCCAUGGAGACCAGGUGCAACCCGUCAUCAAUACGGAUGCUUCUCGAGUUCCUAGAAAGCACCUCAAGGACAAGGCCACCAGCAGGCUGGAAACAUCACUCUGCACAGAGACCAGCA